UACGUAGGGUGCAGGCGUUAAUCGGAAUUACUGGGCGUAAAGCGUGCGCAGGCGGUUUCUUUAGUCAGAUGUGAAAGCCCCGGGCUUAACCUGGGAACUGCGGUUGAAACUGGGGGACUCGAGUGUGGCAGAGGGGGGUGGUAUUCCACGUGUAGCAGUGAAAUGCGUAUAUAUGUGGAGGCACACCGAUGGCGAAGGCAGCCCCCUGGGUUAACACUGACGCUCAUGCACGAAAGCGUGGGGAGCAAUCAGG
rnacentral:rRNA from 1 species